AAGAUAAAUGUAGUAUCGUGGACAAAAGGCCUAAGAUAUCGGCCGAAUCGUAAACAAUGUCGCGAGAGCCGCGGCAUCGUCGGGUACAUCAAUGUAUCGUCGGUCUUCUUUUUAAGUGGAUAGUUUCGUGGAAAAGGCCUGCGUGACCCUGGCCACGGGUGUUUCGGAACACGUGUCUCGAACGACGGGAAAAGACAAAGAGACGUUAAAGGCAGUGUUAGUUGAGAAGCCGGAGAGGACGGAUGCAAAAGCGAGAGCGAGCGAGUGUAGAAGCCGGAGAGUGUGAAUCGGGAAGUCGAAAGCCGCGUAUGAAAAUAAGACGUACGACAGCAUUGUAAUCAUUUCGUUGCUUCGAAUAUUAUUUAUUAAAUCAAAACAUCAUUACUUGUCCUUUCCUCUAAGACCCAUUAAGAUAUUACAUAAAU
rnacentral:misc_RNA from 1 species